UACAGAGGUCCCAAGCGUUUGUUCGGAUUCACUGGGCGUAAAGGGUGCGUAGGUGGUUGGGUAAGUCUGAUGUGAAAUCUCCGGGCUCAACCCGGAAAUGGCAUUGGAUACUAUUCGGCUAGAGGUUUGGAGGGGGGACUGGAAUUCUCGGUGUAGCAGUGAAAUGCGUAGAUAUCGUAAGGAAGACCAGUGGCGAAGGCGAAUCUCUGGACAGUUACUGACACUGAGGCACGAAGGCCAGGGGAGCAAACGGG
rnacentral:rRNA from 1 species